UACGUAGGAGACGAGCGUUGUCCGGAGUUACUGGGCGUAAAGGGUGCGCAGGUGGCGGCGCGCGUGGGGGGUGAAAUCGCCCGGCUUAACUGGGCGGGGGCCUUCCAGACGGCGUGGCUUGAGCAGCGGAGGGGGACGUGGAAUUCCGGGUGGAGCGGUGAAAUGCGUAGAGAUGUGGAGGAACACCGAUGGCGAAGGCAGCCCCCUGGGCUGAGAUUGACGCUCAGGCACGAAAGCGUGGGGAGCGAUCCGG
rnacentral:rRNA from 1 species